rnacentral:piRNA from 1 species
UGUUCUUGCCGGUGUAUAAAAGAA